rnacentral:rRNA from 1 species
CACGUAGGGCGCAAGCGUUGUCCGGAAUUAUUGGGCGUAAAGAGCUCGUAGGCGGUCUGUUGCGUCCGCUGUGAAAACUCGGGGCUUAACCCCGAGCCUGCAGUGGAUACGGGCAGACUAGAGGUAGGUAGGGGAGAAUGGAAUUCCCGGUGUAGCGGUGAAAUGCGCAGAUAUCAGGAGGAACACCAGUAGCGAAGGCGGCACUCUGGGCCGGUACUGACGCUGAGGAGCGAAAGCGUGGGGAGCGAACAGG